GGACUCGUAGCUCAGCUGGAUAGAGCGCUGCCCUCCGAAGGCAGAGGUCGCGCGUUCGAAUCGCGCCGGGUCCA
rnacentral:tRNA from 1 species